GACGAACCGUGCGAACGUUGUUCGGAAUCACUGGGCUUAAAGGGCGCGUAGGCGGGUCACAAAGUCCGGGGUGAAAUCCCCCAGCUUAACUGGGGAAGUGCCUUGGAUACUGGUGACCUCGAGGAGGGUAGGGGCAUCUGGAACGUUGGGUGGAGCGGUGAAAUGCGCAGAUAUCAGGAGGAACACCGGUGGCGAAGGCGGGUCUCUGGGCCAUUACUGACGCUGAGGAGCGAAAGCGUGGGGAGCGAACAGG
rnacentral:rRNA from 1 species